CGAUCGAUUGGAUCGAUUGAUCGAUCGAUACCUUACUUCCCUCGCUACUCAUCCCAAUCAAUCCUCCUUCGCCCCCAGACCAUGGCGCGCCGCCGGAGGGACGAGGAGGACGACGAAAUGGAGCCCGAGGAGGAGGACGACUACGAGGACAGGGAGGCCCUGGAGGACGACUACGAGGAGGAGGAGGAGGAGGAGGAAGAGGAGGAGGACUACGGCAAGACCGGGGGCGGCAAGAAGCGGAGGAGAUCCGACUUCAUCGACGACGUCGCGGACGAGGACGACGAUGAGGAGGAGGAGGACGACGAUGAUGACGAGGAUUUCGGCGGCGGCGGCGGCGGCGGCGGGGGGAAGAGGCAGCGCGCGAAGAAGAGAUCGGGGUCGGAGUUCUUCGAUCUCGAGGCUCAGGUGGAUAGCGAUGAGGACGAGGACGAGGACGACGGCGAGGACGAUUUUAUCGAUAAUGGGGCCGACCUACCUGACGAUGAUGAUAAUAGGCAGAUCCAUCGGAGACCUUUGCUUCCGCGUGAGGAUGAUCAGGAGGAUGUUGAUGAUCUUGAAAGAAGAAUUCAGGCAAGAUAUGCUAGGUCUUCUCAUACUGAAUAUGAUGAGGAGACAACGGAUGUAGACCAGCAGGCUCUUUUGCCUUCUGUCAGGGAUCCAAAGCUAUGGAUGGUGAAAUGUGCGAUUGGUCAUGAGCGAGAGGCAGCUGUGUGCCUAAUGCAGAAAGCCAUUGAUAAAGGACCUGAAUUGCAAAUUAGGUCAGCCAUUGCACUUGACCAUCUGAAAAAUUAUAUAUACAUUGAAGCGGACAAAGAGGCCCAUGUGAGGGAGGCAUGCAAAGGUCUGCGAAAUAUAUAUUCGCAGAAAGUAAUGCUCGUCCCGAUUAGAGAAAUGACGGAUGUCCUGUCAGUUGAAAGUAAGGCAAUUGAUCUUUCUAGAGACACAUGGGUCCGAAUGAAGAUAGGGAAGUACAAAGGAGACCUUGCCAAAGUGGUAGAUGUGGAUAAUGUCCGCCAACGAGUUACAGUGAAAUUAAUACCAAGGAUUGAUUUGCAAGCUAUUGCAAAUAAGUUGGAAGGUAGAGAAGUAGUGAAGAAGAAAGCAUUUGUUCCCCCUCCACGAUUUAUGAAUGUUGAAGAGGCCAGGGAACUGAAUAUCCGUGUGGAACGUAGGCGAGAUCCAAUGACUGGUGAUUAUUUUGAGAAUGUUGCCGGCAUGAUGUUUAAAGAUGGUUUCUUGUUCAAAACUGUAUCCAUGAAAUCAAUAAGCUCUAAUAAUAUAAAGCCCACGUUUGAUGAACUUGAGAAGUUCAGGAAGCCCGGUGAGAGUGGGGACGGUGACAUAGGCAGUCUGUCAACUCUAUUUGCGAACAGGAAAAAGGGUCAUUUCAUGAAGGGCGAUGCUGUAAUUGUUGUGAAAGGUGAUCUUAAAAAUUUGAAGGGUUGGGUUGAGAAAGUCGAGGAAGAGAAUGUACAUAUUCGACCAGAAAUGAAAGGCCUUCCUAAAACACUGGCUGUUAACGAGAAAGAACUGUGCAAGUACUUUGAACCUGGGAAUCAUGUUAAGGUCGUUUCUGGUACCCAAGAAGGUGCUACUGGUAUGGUUGUAAAGGUGGAGCAACAUGCACUCAUCAUUUUGUCGGAUACAACGAAGGAACAUAUUUGUGUUUUUGCUGAUGAUGUCGUUGAGAGUUCAGAGGUAACAUCUGGAGUAACCAGAAUUGGAGACUAUGAGCUUCACGACCUUGUGCUACUGGAUAAUGUCAACUUCGGUGUCAUAAUUCGUGUUGAAAGUGAAGCUUUUCAGGUUCUUAAGGGAGUUCCAGAUAGACCUGAAGUCAUCACUGUUAGAUUGAGAGAGAUAAAGUCCAAGAUCGAUAAGAAAUUUAGUGUCCAGGAUCGCAACAAGAACACUAUAUCUGUGAAGGAUGUUGUCAGGAUUGUGGAGGGUCCAUCCAAAGGAAAACAAGGACCUGUCGAACACAUAUUUAGAGGAAUUGUGUUUAUUUAUGAUCGCCAUCAUCUUGAGCAUGCUGGUUUUAUCUGUUGUAAAUCUGUUUCAUGCACUGUUGUGGGAGGAUCACGAGCAAAUGGUGAUAGACAUGGUGAUUCAUUGUCAAGGUUUUCCAAUUUGAGACCAUCUCAGAUACCCCCAUCGCCGAGGAGAUUCUCUGGAGGCAGACCUCCAAUUAGCUUUGGAGGAAGGCAUGGUGGUGGGAGGGGUCAUGAUGCUUUGGCGGGUACUACGGUAAAGAUUCGCCAAGGUCCUUAUAAGGGAUACCGUGGGCGUGUUGUGGAAGUGAAAGGCCAAUCUGUCAGAGUCGAGCUGGAGUCACAGAUGAAGGUUGUUACAGUGGACCGCAGUCUGAUUUCUGACAAUGUUGUUGUUUCAACUCCCUACCGAGAUUCAAGAUAUGGUAUGGGCAGUGAGACUCCCAUGCAUCCUUCUCGAACUCCUAUGCAUCCAUUUAUGACUCCAAUGAGAGAUCCUGGAGCAACACCUAUUCAUGAUGGAAUGAGAACACCUAUGCGUGACAGAGCAUGGCUUCCGAUGAGUCCACCAAGGGAUGAUUAUGAAGAUGGGAAUCCUGCCUCUUGGGGAAGUAGUCCACGGUAUCAGCCAGGAAGUCCUCCCUCACGAACAUAUGAUGCACCCACACCUGGUUCAGGUUGGGCAACUACACCUGGCGGUAGUUAUAGUGAAGCUGGUACUCCAAGGGAUAGCAAUUCUGCCUACGCAAAUGCUCCUAGCCCUUACUUGCCAUCUACUCCUGGUCAACCUAUGACGCCAAGUUCAGCAUCUUAUCUGCCUGGCACUCCAGGAGGGCAACCAAUGACACCUGGAACCGGUGGACUAGACGUCAUGUCUCCUGUUAUAGGUGGGGAAAAUGAAGGACCAUGGUUUAUGCCAGAAAUUCUGGUUAAUCUGUCCAGACCAGGAGAAGAGAGUGUUGGAGUUAUCAGAGAGGUUCUUCCUGAUGGCUCCUGUCGGGUAGCCCUUGGGCCUAGUGGCAACGGGGAGACGGUGACCCUUCUUCCUAACGAAAUGGAGAUGGUGGUGCCAAGGAAAUCGGACAAGAUCAAGAUCGUUGGUGGCCAAUUACGUGGUCGCAAUGGCAAAUUGAUGGGUGUGGAUGGCGAGGAUGGUAUCGUGAAACUGGACAAUCUUGAUGUCAAGAUAUUGGAUUUGGGAAUUCUAGCAAAGCUAGCAUAACUAUGAUUCCGGUAAGAGUCCAGAUCUAUGGGAGCACGUGAUGUACAUAAUUCUUGCUUAAUGUUACAGAAAUUUUGCAGGAAAUUGUUGUUUAUGCUUUGUAGAGUAUAGAUGCGUCCGGGGUCGUGGGGGGCAAUGCACCUCUUGUAAUAGUAUGGGGACCCAAUUGGAAAAUGACACAUCCUUGUUCCAAGGGCUAUCGGGUUCUUCAUCCGCUCCUUUACUCCUCCAUGCGAAUGAUGCAGCGAAGGCCUUCGCCUUUAAGCAUGAAGUCAAAGGCCUUGUUGAUCUCCGAGAAAGGGACCUGGUGAGUGAUGAACUUCUCCACUUCAAGCUCCUGGAACAUUCAAGACUAGGAAAUCAAUUACAGGACAAAAGAAAAGAACACAGAAAUAAAUUGACACUUUCAAUUGCUUUAGUUCGAGUGUGUUUUACUUUGCUCAUAUAUUUCUCUACGACGGAGGGAAUGUCUGAACGCGGCUUGUAGUUUCCAAAGAACGUGCCCUUCAGAGUCCUCUCGUUCAGUAGAUUAAUAGGAUGAGUCUUGAAGACAGCAUCUUUAUGGGGCACCCCCACAAGAACAGCAACUCCCCAA